UUUAUGGAGAGUUUGAUCCUGGCUCAGGACGAACGCUGGCGGCGUGCCUAAUACAUGCAAGUCGAGCGGAGUUGACGAGAAGCUUGCUUCUCGGAUGCUUAGCGGCGGACGGGUGAGUAACACGUAGGCAACCUGCCCUCAAGCUUGGGACAACUACCGGAAACGGUAGCUAAUACCGAAUACAUGAUUUGUUCGCCUGAACGAAUUUGGAAAGACGGAGCA
rnacentral:ncRNA from 1 species